rnacentral:lncRNA from 1 species
GCUUAAAUCAAGGUGUCAGCAGGUCUGCAUUCCUCCUGGAAGCCAUAGGGGUGAAUCUGUUUCCUUGCCUUUUCCGGCUCCUAGAUGAUGCCUGCAUUCUUUGGCUUGUGGCUCUCUUUCUCCAUAUUCAAAGAAAGCAAUGUUGCAUAUCUCUGACCAUUCUUAGUCACGUAUCCUUCUGAUUCUUCUACCUCCAUCUCCCCCUUUUAAGGACCCUUGUCAUUGUAUUGGGACCACUUGGAUAAACCAGAAUAAUUUCUCUAUAUUCAGAUCAGCUGCUUAGCAACCUUAAUUCCAGCUUCUGCCUUCAUUCCCUAUAUCCAUCAGCAGCAAAGGGGGACAGCUGGCCCCUUAGGUUUGCCCUUGAAAGAAAACAUGCUGGCCGGCCUCCCUCCAGACAAGCCCUGUGAGUGCCUUUGUGAGGACAAAAUCUUCAUGCUAAUCCAUCCUUCUAUGGGGAACAGCAAAGAAAGGAACAAAGGGUUUGCAGGCUGGCACUGGCCCAGAGACCUCACUUUGAGUAGCACUAAAAAAGUAACAGCUUCAACCUAUGAUGAUGACGCCAGCAGAUAAUCCCUCCACCUUCCACCUCAAGACAGCUGUGUGUGCUAUGAAUGCUCAUUUGAGAGCCACAGAAGAGUAAAGUGGGUAGACUUCGAGGCUGAUAGAAGACACCAAGCCCAUGAUCUGUGUGGCAGGAGUGACAGACUUGCUGGAAGGAUGCAAGGCGGUAGGAAGCGAGGGCAGGCUGGGUGAACCCACGAGUGUCUUAUGGUUCUGAUCAAGUCAAGAGAGAGACAAGGACCAGCAUUUCAAGUGUUACAGACUUCUGCCUCAGAAACCAUCAAUGACCAGAAGAGCCUGGAAGAACACAAGGACACCCCAUGGAUCUCAUGACUUGUCUUCCUCUCACCCACAUAAGAGGUCACGUAAGCCAUUCUCCCCUUUCCCCCCUCUUGUCUUCACACUUCUCCGGAAGUGCUGAACCAUCUUAGGGAUAGAGCCAGGGAGAGCCAAAAGGCUAUCUGAGGGACUAAAAGACUCUAUGCAAAUGAGAAACUGAGUUUUAUUAUGUAAAGAAUGAUUUAGUUUAUUAGAUCAGACUAACUUUCAACCACAUUGGACAUUUACUUUCCCCUUACUGCUCUAGGAUGACCGUCUUGUCCGGUUUCCUAGGACUUUUCUGGUUUUAGCACUGAAAGUCUCACACUCAGAAACCUCUCAGUCCUCAGCAAACUUGGACUUCACCACCUGCACAAAGAGAAGGCAGGAAUUCAUGAAGGAGACCAGUUAAUAACGUAGUAAAUAAAUAAAUUACCACUUCUCUGCACAUCAAAAUUGUAACAUGGGUUACGUUUUGCAGCGCUACUACAAACUAUGCAUUGAGUGACUAUGGGCCAAGCAAUGUCAUAGGCCCUAGUGAUGCAGUAAUAAACAAGACAGAGUUGAUCUCUGCCCUCAUGGCAGCUCUCUACAGCUAUGGAAAGGACUUCCAGCUACUUAAACUUUCUUGUCUCAGGUUAGUAUAUGUUUAAGAGUCAAGCCUGAAAUAGAAAAGGAAAAUAAAUUCUGGAUGUAAAUACCACCUUUCUGUAAAAAUCACUCCCCAAUCCCGUCCUACAGCAUGUUCAUUUGGCACAUUGCUCUAUGCGCUCUAUGUGCACCUUUGCUUGAUGGAAAGUCUAAUCAGCUAUGCGACUGUGACGAUGAAGAAAUCACUAUUUUCAAUAAACGGAGCCAAGACUAUUUUUAAAAACAGUUUUCCUAAGCUUAAUUAUUGUCAGAUACCUUUCUACUGAAAAAAAAAAACUUGCCGUAAAAUCAACAAUUUAUAAGGGUAAGCAACAAAGAAAAAAUUAAUCAUACGUUUAAUCCUACUCUGAGAAACCACCAUUGCGAUUUUGGUGGUCAUUCUUUUGUUUACCUUUUUGUGUGUACAUGUACAAAUAUACAUAAUUUUAAUUAACUAGGAUGCUGAAACACAAUCUUGGUUUUUCUCUUUUCCAGUUUUAUUGAGCUAUAAUUGGCAAAUAAAAUUAUAUAUAUUUAAAAUGUACAAGGUGAUCAUUUGACAUAUGGAUACUUUGUGAAAUGAUUACCACAUCAGGCUAAUUAACAUAUCUAUCACCAUACAUAGUUACUUGUUUUUGCAUGUGUGGUGAGAACACUUAAGAUUUGCUCUCUUAGUAAAUUUCAAGUACAUAACAGUAUUAUU